rnacentral:rRNA from 1 species
AGUGAACGCUGGCGGCGUGCCUAAUACAUGCAAGUCGAACGAAGUUGCGCACGGGUGAGUAAUAUAUAGUUAAUCUUCCCUACACAGAUGAACAACCUUUGGAAACUGCUGCGAAUACUUUCUAGUGUAGGAUGAGACUAUAUCGUAUCAGCUAGUUGGUAAGGUAAUGGCUUCCCACGGCUAUGACGCGUAACUGGUCUGAGAGGAUGAUCAGUAACAUUGGAACUGAGACACGGUCCAAAAUCAUACGGGAGGCAGCAGUAAGGAAUAUUGCGCAAUGGGGGAGACCCUGAAGCAGCAACGCCGCGUGGAGGAUGACACUUUUUGGAGCGUAAACUCCUUUUAUGAGGAAAGCGGUACCUGAUGAAUAAGCACCGGCUAACUCCGUGCCAGCAGCCGCGGUAAUAC